rnacentral:rRNA from 1 species
CGCGUAGGCGGACUUUCAAGUCAGGGGUGAAAUCCCGAGGCUCAACCUCGGAACUGCCUUUGAUACUGUAAGUCUUGAGUCCGAGAGAGGUGAGUGGAAUCCCUAGUGUAGAGGUGAAAUUCGUAGAUAUUAGGAAGAACACCAGUGGCGAAGGCGGCUCACUGGCUCGGUACUGACGCUGAGGUGCGAAAGCGUGGGGAGCAAACA